GAACGCUGGCGGCAGGCUUUAACACAUGCAAGUCGAACGCCCCUUCGGGGGAGUGGCAGACGGGUGAGUAACGCGUGGGAACAUACCUUUCGGUUCGGAAUAGCCCCGGGAAACUGGGUGUAAUACCGGAUACGUCCUUAGGGAGAAAGAUUUAUCGCCGAAAGAUUGGCCCGCGUUAGAUUAGGUAGUUGGUGGGGUAAAAGCCUACCAAGCCUACGAUCUAUAGCUGGUCUGAGAGGAUGAUCAGCCACACUGGGACUGAGACACGGCCCAGACUCCUACGGGAGGCAGCAGUGAGGAAUCUUGGACAAUGGGCGCAAGCCUGAUCCAGCCAUGCCGCGUGAAUGAUGAAGGCCUUAGGGUUGUAAAAUUCUUUCAGCAGGGAAGAUAAUGACGGUACCUGCAGAAGAAGCCCCGGCUAACUCCGUGCCAGCAGCCGCGGUAAUACGGAGGGGGCUAGCGUUGUUCGGAAUUACUGGGCGUAAAGCGCUCGUAGGCGGAUUGGUCAGUCAGGGGUGAAAGCCCCGGAGCUCAACUCCGGAACUGCCUUUUGAUACUGCCAGUCUUGAGUUCGGGAGAGGUGAGCC
rnacentral:rRNA from 1 species